rnacentral:rRNA from 1 species
ACGCUUUGCCGACACGGCACAGGGCGUACGCCUUGGCACUGAGAGCCGAUGAAAGACGUGAUAAGCUGCGAUAAGCUUCGGGGAGGAGCAAAUAUCCUUUGAUCCGGAGAUCUCUGAAUGGGGAAACCCACUUGAGCAAACCUCAAGUAUCCUAACGCCAAUACAUAACGUUAGGAGGGGAACCCGGUGAACUGAAACAUCUAAGUAGAGAA